UUGAAAAAUUGCAACAGCAACUUCUUUUUCUCUUUUCUAGUUUGUUGUUUACAGGUCUGUGUAUGGUCUUGAGCUGUUGUUUUUGUAGCUUAUUUGCAAACCAUCGAUUGUACCAUUUACUAACCGAACCAGCCAAUAAUUUUGGUUGAACCAAUUUUUGGCAACUGCAAGAAGAUGGCUAGCUAGUGGUAACUGAUUUUCUGUAAUUAUGUAUAUGUGGCUGGCAGGUGACAUAAGGAAUUUGGCAUGGUUUGCCAACCAAACCCAGCCCUAGAGAUGUCCAUUAAAAAAAUCAAGAUUAGUUGUGAGGUUCAGACCACAUCGAACUUCAACGAUCCGAACCAGACUUACAAAAUAAACAGCUUGAAUCGUUGAAGUUCAAUGUAGUUCGCACCCCACAACUAAUUUCCAUUUAGAAAAGAUGAGAUUCCAUUCACUUAAAGGCCUCCUAUUAUGUAUACACGAAUAAUAUAAUAGGGUAAAUUACACAAAACUACCUCAACUAUUGGUCUCACGACACUUUCAUACCUCAUCUUUUUAAAAUGACAAUGUCAUACCUCAUCUUAUGAAUUUGUGCCAAUGUCAUACCUCUGUCAGUUUUUCUAUUAAUUUCUCUGUUAAGUGCUGACGUGGCUACAUGCGAG
rnacentral:lncRNA from 1 species